UCAAUCAGAGAAAGAAAAUAUAAUUAAAAUGAAAAAUUGGAAGUAAGAAAGAAAAGGGAAAAGGAUGCUGCGCCGGAAGCCGCGGCGAGGAUUCCUUAUGAUGCUUGUGCGCGUCCCCGAGGCCCAUCGGUUCUUCAUCCAAGAACCGAUAAACGCGGUGACCGGCGCCUUCGCGGCAUUUAUGAUUAAUUUUAUAAUCCAGUCUGGUAGUUUUAAGAAGCGAGUUCUUGCAUCCGCCCUCUUCGAAUCGGCGGGGCGGUGGAGCGCCAGCGAGCCCAAGGUCUCCCAGGCGAGCAUGGCAGGACUGGAGGGCUCCCGGCAGGGCGCCUCGGCGUCCAUCGGGAUCCCGACGGAGGUGCCGGAGAUCUUUCGGCUACAACGCCGGGCAGGUGGGGCUCGUUAGCCGUGGUGGGCAGUUCACCUAGGAGAGCAAACUCCGAACAACAAACCAGGGCAGGUGAGGUUCGUUAGCCGUGGUAGGCAAUUCACCUAGGAGAGCAAACUCCGAACAACAAACCAGGGCAGGUGAGGUUCGUUAGCCGUGGUAGGCAAUUCACCUAGGAGAGCAAACUCCGAACAACAAACCAGGGCAGGUGAGGUUCGUUAGCCGUGGUAGGCAAUUCACCUAGGAGAGCAAACUCCGAACAAUAAACCCGGGCAGGUGGAGCUCGUCAGCCGUGGUAGGCAGUCUGCCUAGGAGAGCAAACUCCGAACAAUAAACCCGGGCAGGUGGAGCUCGUCAGCCGUGGUAGGCAGUCUGCCUAGGAGAGCAAACUCCGAACAAUAAACCCGGGCAGGUGGAGCUCGUCAGCCGUGGUAGGCAGUCUGCCUAGGAGAGCAAACUCCGAACAAUAAACCGGGGCUUGUGGUGCUCGUUAGAUGUCGUAGACAAUCCACGUGAUGGGAACACCAAAGAAAAGGAAAAUAAAAAGGAACACCAGAAAAAUGAAAAUAUAGUAACAAAACAUCAAUAAAAUAAAAUAAAAAACACAGAUCAUCCACCUUCAGGCCCUAACGUACAUCUCCAAAAUUACGGGUGAGUCUUUUCUGGGGAGAAAGAGGCUCAUCCAGACCAAAGAACAUAAAAAAGGGAUGAUAUAGAAAGGAACACCAAAAAAUGGGAAAAAGAGAAAAAAAACAUCGCAAAAGAAAAGUAACAACAAUAACAGAACAACGCCAAGAAAA